ACUAUUAGAAUAUUAUCAUUACAAAAUGCUGUCUGGGAGUGUUGAUUUUUCUAAACGUAAGUUUUCCAUGUAUAUUUGGCGUGGGUUGGAGAGAGAAAACAAAUAGGGUGCGCUGAACCUUUGCGCCGAAAGUCGGAUAUUAGACCCAUAUUAUAUAAAUUGUGUUAUUGUCAUCGUCCCUAUAUAACAUUAUACGCAUACUGGGCAACACCGCCGCCGCUGCCCCAGCCACCAUCACUCGUCGCUGUUGCCGCUGCCACCGAUCAAUAAAUACGACGAUGGAUAUAUAUUUGCCAACCCCACACCGUCCUUCAGCUUGGCAUACGGGACCACCACCACCGAUCGGGCUGAUGUGAGCACUCGACGAUCAACAUUGAUAAGUCUUGAUUUUAAUACUAUUAUAUAACUUAAUUAUACAAUAUUAUUGUUUUGAAUCGUAUUAAAAUAUAUAUGUUGUAGGUACUGUUCGGAGAGACGUAUUUGUCACCUACUCGUUAAACUACUUUAUUAUUAUUUAUUACAAUUAAUUACAAUAUAAUAUACUUCGCGAUGGUUAUUGGCCAUAUUACCUGUCUUGACAUGAUUAAAUUACGAAGUUAUAAUAGCUCAUAAUCUGUGUACGCGGUGUGAGUUGUCGGACCAACUACGUUUUAAAAGUCGCACACUUGUGUUAUGCAGCCGAAGAUGGUGUAUAAAGCUUCAACAGUCGACGAUCUGUGUAUCACUGACAACACCUCCGUAGCCAAACACCAUUCGACCAAGGAUCUGACGCCUAAUUCUUUGAGUGUUUAUGAAAGUGCAACUAUAGCGUAACAUAUUGUGGGCGCUGCAGUUUAAAAGUCGCACAUUUCGUGUUACGCAGAAGGAGAUGGUCUGUAGAGCCUCGAAGGUCAAAGAACUGCUCAGCAACUGUGUAUCGCAGACCAGCACCUCCGUAGUCGAUGACCCACACCAAGGAGCUGCCACCUAAUUCUUUGAGUGUUUAUGAAAGUGCAACUAUAGGGUUACUAUAAAUAUUAAAUAUAAUUAUGAAAGAUGUAACAGUUCAUCAUUUUUUUGUAAACCAUGAUCGUGGCGCUGCAGUUUAAAAGUCGCCCAGGUUAUGGUUUGUAGAAGGAUAUGGUCUAUAGAGUAUCGAAGGUCAACGAACUGCUCAGCAACUAUGUAUCACAGACCAAUACCUCCGUAGCAGAUGACCCGACCAAGAAGAUGACACCUAAUUCUUUGAUUGUUUAUAAAGGUGCAACUAUAGGGUUAUAAUAAACAUUAAAUAUGAUUAUGAAAGGUUUUGUUAAAAUUCGAAAUAU